rnacentral:rRNA from 1 species
UCCGUCUUGCUGGGGGGAUUAGUGGCGAACGGGUGAGUAACACGUGAGUAACCUGCCCUUGACUCUGGGAUAAGCCUGGGAAACUGGGUCUAAUACCGGAUAUGACCUUUCACCGCAUGGUGGGGGGUGGAAAGCUUUUGUGGUUUUGGAUGGACUCGCGGCCUAUCAGCUUGUUGGUGGGGUAAUGGCCUACCAAGGCGAUGACGGGUAGCCGGCCUGAGAGGGUGACCGGCCACACUGGGACUGAGACACGGCCCAGACUCCUACGGGAGGCAGCAGUGGGGAAUAUUGCACAAUGGGCGCAAGCCUGAUGCAGCGACGCCGCGUGAGGGAUGACGGCCUUCGGGUUGUAAACCUCUUUCAGUAGGGAAGAAGCGAAAGUGACGGUACCUGCAGAAGAAGCGCCGGCUAACUACGUGCCAGCAGCCGCGGUAAUACGUAGGGCGCAAGCGUUAUCCGGAAUUAUUGGGCGUAAAGAGCUCGUAGGCGGUUUGUCGCGUCUGCUGUGAAAGACCGGGGCUCAACUCCGGUUCUGCAGUGGGUACGGGCAGACUAGAGUGAUGUAGGGGAGACUGGAAUUCCUGGUGUAGCGGUGAAAUGCGCAGAUAUCAGGAGGAACACCGAUGGCGAAGGCAGGUCUCUGGGCAUUAACUGACGCUGAGGAGCGAAAGCAUGGGGAGCGAACAGGAUUAGAUACCCUGGUAGUCCAUGCCGUAAACGUUGGGCACUAGGUGUGGGGGACAUUCCACGUUUUCCGCGCCGUAGCUAACGCAUUAAGUGCCCCGCCUGGGGGAGUACGGCCGCAAGGCUAAAACUCAAAGGAAUUUGGACGGGGGCCCGCACAAGCGGCGGAGCAUGCGGAUUAAUUCGAUGCAACGCGAAGAACCUUACCAAGGCUUGACAUGGACCGGAUCGCUGCAGAAAUGUGGUUUCCCUUCGGGGCUGGUUUCAC